rnacentral:rRNA from 1 species
GACGAACCGUGCGAACGUUAUUCGGAAUCACUGGGCUUAAAGCGCGUGUAGGCGGGACGGCACGUCGGUCGCUGAAAUCCCCCGGCUCAACCGGGGAACGGGCGCCGAUACGACCGUCCUGGAGGGACGUAGGGGGACCUGGAACCUCCGGUGGAGCGGUGAAAUGCGUUGAGAUCGGAAGGAACGCCCGUGGCGAAAGCGAGGUCCUGGACGUUUUCUGACGCUGAGACGCGAAAGCCAGGGGAGCGAACGGG